rnacentral:rRNA from 1 species
UACAGAGGGGGCAAGCGUUAUUCGGAAUUAUUGGGCGUAAAGGGCGCGUAGGCGGCUUGGCAAGUGGAAGGUGAAAUCCCUCGGCUUAACCGAGGAACUGCCCUCCAAACUGCUUUGCUUGAGGCCGGGAGAGGUGAGUGGAAUUCCCAGUGUAGCGGUGAAAUGCGUAGAUAUUGGGAGGAACACCGAUGGCGAAGGCAGCCCCCUGGGCUAACACUGACGCUCAUGCACGAAAGCGUGGGGAGCAAACAGG